GGCAGAUGCCAAACUUCCCGAUGCGCAGUCCGGCUACGAAAAAGCGUAUACCAAUGUGCUGGCCGGUCACAGCGGCGCCAACCUGAUCUACGAAGCUG
rnacentral:ncRNA from 1 species